UUUUUUUUUUUGGAAGUUUGGCCCUGAGCUAACAUCUGUUGCCAAUCUUCCUCUUUUUUUCUCUCCCCAAAGCCCCAGCACAUAGUUGUAUAUCCUAGUUGUAAGUCAUUCUAGUUCUUCUACAUGGGAUGUCACCACAGCCUGGCUGGAUGAGCAGUGCAAAGGUCUACACCCAGGAUCUGAACCCACGAAUCCUGGGCUGCCAGGGCAGAGCACACAAACUUAACCACUUGGCCACCGGGCCAGCCCCCAUUUCCACAUUUUUCUUUAGUUUGGGUUGAAUGGGAAUGGGAAUUGCUUUCAUUCUCUUAGCUUGGUCAAUUAGUUGGCAGCUUGUGGAAGUAGAAUGCAUGCUAAACUGGAAAUCUGAAAAACUGUGUUCAAGUCCCUAUUUGGUCGCUAACGAACUACAUAAUUACUGUCAAGUCAGUUACUUCUCUAAGCCUCUACUUCCUUAUCCGUACGAUAAGAAGGGUGAACUGCAUGAUUGCUAGGACGCCAUUCAGCCCAAAAUAUUCUGUAAGCAACAGGAAAAAAUAUAGAUGAUGCCAAGAAAUACUGAUAGGAAGGUAUACAUCUUUAAAACCAGAUGAAAAGUAUUGUAGAGGUGGUAAAACCUCAUAUUUCAUCUUCACCUGGCUUGAUUUCUCAGAAUUGAAUCAUCUCAUGGAAUGCACUACUCAGAGCUAAAAGACAUAUAGAUCAAAACAAAGCUCUAAAAAUAAAAGAUGAACCUAUGUUAGGAAGAGGUGACUGGGAGCCAAUGAAGAAAUCCCUGCAGUAUGAAUUUCAUACACUCUUUAAGACCAAAGCAAACAAGUAGGAAGGAAAAAUUUAGGUGCCCAUUUCAGUGCAGCUUUUCUUCCUGGCAGACCACUUUCUAGGGAUUAGCUUUCAUCUCACCAGUUCUGCAUCCCAAAGGAAAAGUUAUCCUGGGCCACUUUAUUUUCUAACUCUGCAUUGGCUUAUCACCACAUAGAGCUAAAUCAUGAUCAAGUUAGGAAUGAAGAAUGUGCAGUCAAGAUACAAGGAGAGUAAGAAUAAGUUUAAUCCAUUAAUAAUUCCCAAAUCCUAUGCUAUGAAAUAGUUUUGACUCCCUCCUUAUCCAAAAAACUUUUCCUCCUAGAAAUGAUAGUAAGUCACUAAAUUUGCUGGCUUGACUUUUGUCCUUUCUUCUUCAACUCAGAACCAGGGUACUAAAAGUCAAACUGUGUCUUCUCACUACUCAUUUUGUAUAGUAGUCAAUUCUUUGGUAGCAAACAACAGAAACUAUCUGUAUUAGUC
rnacentral:lncRNA from 1 species